GAUGAACGCUAGCUACAGGCUUAACACAUGCAAGUCGAGGGGAAACGGCAUUAAGUGCUUGCACUUUUUGGACGUCGACCGGUGCAUGGGAGAGUAACGCGUAUCCAACCUUCCCAUGACUAAGGGAUAACCUGCCGAAAGGCAGACUAAUACCUUAUGGUCUUCAUUGACGGCAUCAGAUGUGUAGUACAGAUUGAUAGGUUAUGGAGGGGGAUGCGUCUGAUUGGCUUGUUGGCGGGUUAACGGCCUACGAAGGGAACGAUCAGUAGGGGUUCGGAGAGGAAGGUCCCCCACAUUGGAACUGAGACACGGUCCAAACUCCUACGGGAGGCAGCAGUGAGGAAUAGUGGUCAAUGGGCGAGAGCCUGAACCAGCCAAGUAGCGUGCAGGAUGACGGCCCUAUGGGUUGUAAACUGCUUUUGUAUGGGGAUAAAGUCAAUCACGUGUGAUUGUUUGCAGGUACCAUACGAAUAAGGACCGGCUAAUUCCGUG
rnacentral:rRNA from 1 species